GACAGAGGAUGCAAGCGUUAUCCGGAAUGAUUGGGCGUAAAGCGUCUGUAGGUGGCUUUUUAAGUCCGCCGUUAAAUCCCAGGGCUCAACCCUGGACAGGCGGUGGAAACUACCAAGCUGGAGUACGGUAGGGGCAGAGGGAAUUUCCGGUGGAGCGGUGAAAUGCGUAGAGAUCGGAAAGAACACCAACGGCGAAAGCACUCUACUGGGCCAUGACUGACACUGAGAGACGAAAGCUAGGGGAGCAAAUGGG
rnacentral:rRNA from 1 species